AAAUAGCUGCGAUAUACAAUGAUUAAAAAAGGUCUCACCUUAAGAAAAAAACAAAAUAACUACACCAAAUCACAAACACAAAAUAUCCGCUUUUGUAUCUAAAUCGCCAUAUUAGUUAUUGGAACAGUGUAGUCAACUUUGAACCGAAAAAAUAUACUAUUGUACAAUUUAAUGCAUAUCAAACUUAAAUAAUCUAUGGUUUCCUUGUUUUUUCGAAUUAAAAUAUAAAGUGCCAAUAAUUGGAGAAGUGCCAACGAUUGGGUGUUUUACCCUAUAUCUCGACAAUCAAAACAUCCGCGGGGAUUCCCCAGUAAGAAAAAUAAAAUGUCAUAGAACGGACAUCGACCGAAACAAUCUACGACUGUUCACUACUAACGCCAUCUAUUAAAUCGAUUGAUGACUAUUACCUCAGGUUCGAUGAUAGUAGGUUUUACUGAAGCUGAAUUAGUGCACGGACUACUAAGUAGCAAAUAAAAUAGGUGGCGCUAGAAUCAUAAGCAAAAAACUGUAGAUUACGUAUCCUAAACUAAAAA